ACCAUGCACUACAAAAAUCCACAGCCUUACCCUCACAUUUAUAGAAGUAUAAGAUCUCCGACUAAAUAGGAAAUAAUGUAACCCUUAUUUAAUUAGUUGGAAAACACAUGGUAUAAAAUUUCUAUCUUAACAAAAAAAGGUCCGGACAUUCGAAUUGGAGCCAAUAACUUAGCACAAAUAUAUUUAUAAAAUACCAUGGGUUGAGGUCAUGAAUAAAAAUAACUCAUUGAAUGGGGUCGUGUAAGAGGGGAAAUGCACUUAUGAUCCAACUAGUGAAAGGAAUCUUUUCUUUAGCACCU
rnacentral:lncRNA from 1 species